rnacentral:lncRNA from 1 species
AGCUCUAAGCUGCCCCAGGUCUGCAAGUAAGUUCCUGCUUGUCACACAUUCCACACUUCUACACUGAAGUCAAAUAUUUUUUCAGUUUAUGGAUUUUUUCCCCCUUCUAUUAGUGCCUGUAUUAGUUUUCAAAGGCUGCUUGAAGAAAUUUGAAUACGUGAAAAUGUAUUUCUGCAAGCUAGAAGACAGAAGUUUGAAAGGCUAGAGAUGGAAUCGGAGCUGCAGCUGCCAGCCUGUGCCAUAGCCACAGCAAUGCUAGAUGAGCUGCAUCUGUGACCUGUGCCACAGCUUGCUGCAACACUGAAUACUUAACCCACUGAGUGAGACCAGGGAUUGAACCUGCAUCCUUGAGGACACUAUGUUGGGUUCUUAACCUGCUCAGCCACAACGUGAACUCCACCAAUGGAGGAAGUCUGAAAGGUUGAACAUUAAUCUUAAAUACUGAGCAAUUAGUAAGAGUUUAAGAGACUGAGAAACCAGUAUUUGACUGAAUCCAGCUUGCCUCCAUGAGCCUUGGCUACAUUGCUGUCCUGGCUUGAAAUGCGGGUGUGUGAUAGGAAUGUCGUCAUCACCAAGAACAUGAGGAAAAUAAACAUAAAGGGAAAACCCAUUCUUCAACAUACAAGAUUUCUAGGAUCAUCUCCCUCAGUUCUUUUAACGGAGUGUUAAUAUAAUCCUAAAUCUGGGCGUCAGUUGGACAGUCUCACGUGGGCACUGGCACAUCAACAACAAGACAUGGAAACAACCUAAAUCUCCAUCAAUAGAUGAAUGGAUAAAGAAGAUGUGGUAUAGAUAUACAAUGGAAUAUUACUCAAUCAUAAAAAUAAGGAAAUAAUGCCAUUUGCAACAACAUGGAUGAACCUAGAGCUUCUCAUAUUAGGUGAGGUUUCCCCUUUCCCAGCCUCUCGUGGACCAGCGUUACCAGCUGAAGGAAGGUUGUGAAUCUGCAUCCCAGCCCAUUAGUCCUUCUCCUGAUUCCCGUGAUGAGUUCACCAGUGCAGCCUGGUCAGUUUGGUUGUUUCUUAAGCUAUUAACAGAUGUAAUAUGAAAGAUGUUGCUUUGUGUUGCUUCAAACCAAGCAAUUUAACUUAUGAAAGGACUUUUUAUUCUGAUGAGGAUGUGUGGAUACAAUGAAUUUUGAAUUUUGUGUUCUAUAGCUAAUCCUUUGUUAUGUAACCAUCUUGCUUUCCAGGCAAUUAAUUUCAUUUGAAUUAUUAUCUGAGCACUGGGCUUUAGUUCUUCUGCUAAUGUAACAUUUGGAUUGAAUUUUAUGAAGUUAUAAAUAUUUAUUAAAUAUGUUGUAGGCAUCUAAUUCAUAUCCAUAGUCUUUCUGAGUCCGUGUCUGUAUGUUUUAAAUUGUGUCAUAGGCUUUGGAUAUCAGCUUGUGGACUCAUUUUCCUCCUCCUUCUCUUUGACACACAGGAAGGAUAUUUCUCCUCCCUGCCCUUCUUUGCUGCCACUCCUGUUUCCUACAUACAUGUUUAAUUAUAAUCUCAGCACCUGCUUCCUCUGAGUCCAGUGUAAUGUGUGGCUCAUGUAGUGUUGUGAUAAGCACAGCCAACACCCAUUUCUCCAGGAACAGGGUGUCACUUUGGGAACAAACACAAUCCAAGUCUUAAAAAUGAUGGAGUAGUUUCAGAUAUCAUAUGUUAAACAUAGAGAAAUUUAAAAAGAAUUUUCUGUUUGAAUCAUUGUAGGAGUAUUUAUUUCUAUAUAUUCUUUAAAAAAAAAUCUCUCAGCACGUUGGUAUCUUUGAGUUAUCCAACUCCUGAGGUUGAAGCUAAUGUAAUAUUUUAUUCAGAGUUUAUAAAGGGAAAUCUUUUGCCAAGAUUUUCAGUCUGUGGAGUGCCACACCCAGAUCAGCUGCUCUGGAAUUCCAAUGUCUCAUCAACCUUUCCCAGAGCCCCAACAGGCUGCCAGCUUGUAUGUUGAAUUUGGAACUGAAAGGUUUUGGCGCGUACAACUGUAAUUGUUGAUUCUAAAUGAUGUAGUAAAGAUAUUCCAGAAUCUUUCUUCACAAUCAUGAUUUAUAAUUGGCGUUGUCAUCUGAAUAAGCACAUGAAGAGUUACACAGGCCUCUUAUCUCUGAGUCCUUGCAGUGCAGUGUUUCUCCAACUUUAGCAUCACUGGGAGGGCUUGUUAAAAUCAAGCCCCAUUCUCAAAGUUUUUGAUUCAGUAGAUCUUAGGUGGGUCCCAGGAAUUGUGAUACUUAUAAGUUUCCCCCCGGUGAGGCUACUGCUGCCUGAGGACUACACUUUGGAAAGCACUGAUCUAGCUUGCUAGUCCCGUUCCUUCCUCCACCUCUGCUUGCCUCCAUCCUCUCCUCCCUCCACACCCCCACCCUUACAGGCAGCCCUCUGUGCAUUACUUAUCACAAUUAUGGUGUAUUAUUACUGUCCUUUCUAUUGAGUUGGACUUAAAAUGAUGUGUGUGUUUUAUAUAUGCAUAUAUUACAUUUAAAUAUACAUUAUAUAUUGAUUUGUAUAUAACUUUAAUGUUUCAAAAUUACAUAAUUUAAAAGAGGCAUUUAAUUUAGAACUACCAUAGUCAAACAUUUUUUUUUCUUGUGGUAGAAUAUGUUAGAGUCAUUAAAAACAUAUUACAAGCAAUUGGAACAAAUUGGCUAAGUAUGAAUGUGGCAGAAAAUUUCCUCCAUUUCUAAAGUUACUGUCUAAAAUUUAUAUAGGGGAUUGUCUUUAAUUGUAAAGGACAGAAAUUAGACUUUUAUAAAAUUGUCCCUGUCCCUUUAUUCUCUGCCUUCCUCCCCCAUAUCCUGUCCACAUUGUUUACCUCCCAGUUUUACUUCACAGAAGAGUGGCAGGGCAGAUUGAACCAUGGGAAAAUGGAAUUUUUGACAGUGACAGCAACUGUAUCCAAGUGAAACAUUUGAAAUGGCAUUUCUAUGUAAUCAUUAAAUGGGUAAAAAGUGCAGAUACCCUUGAUGGUUGAAGGUUGAAGGAUGCAACUAUAUGGGGAAAUUUUGAAUCCAAAUUAUAAUAAUUAAACCCAAUUUAUCAUACUUAACUAACUUGUAAAUAGUGCAAGUACAGCAAUUUCAGUGUCUAUAUGGUCUUUUUUUAGCAUCUUUCUAGGAUGUAUGGACUUGGACCCGCUUAUUUUUUUCUUUCCUUUUUAAAUUUAAGUAUAAUUAAUGUAUAAUAAUAUUUAUUUUACAGGUUACAGUAUAAUGUCACAAUUUUUAAAGCUUAUACUCCAUUUAUAGUUAUUAUAAAACAUUGGCUAUAUUUUCUGUGCUGUAUAAUAUAUCCUUGUAGCUUAUUUUAUACGUAUUGGUUUGUACCUCUUAACCCCUUAACCCCAUAUUGCCCCUUCCCUCUUCCCUCUCCCCACUGGUAGCCAACUAGAUUGCUCUCUAUAUCCCUGAGUCUGUUUCUUUUUUGUUACAUUCACUAGUUUGUUGGGUUUUUUUUUAGAUUCCAUGUAUCUGUCUUUCUUUGCUUUGUUUCACUUAGCAUAAUACCCUUCCAGUCCAUUCAUCUGUUGCAUAUGGUAGAAUUUCACAAUGGACCCACUUAUUUUUAAUGCGAAACAUGUAAUACCAUUAGACACUAUCGUAAGUGGUUAGACUUCCAGUUUAACCCAUUGAACCCUACUUAAAGAUAACUACUUUGCAGUGAAUGAAUACAGAAAAAUUUUGACAGCCUUUGAAAAAGAGAAUCAAUACAAUGUAGUAAGGAAUAUUUAAAAAUUUUGCAUGUUUAGAGAAAAGUGGACCAAUUUGACAGGAAAACAAACAAGUGAGAAAAUUUGAUGGAGAUAGUUCAUGUGAACUAUGGGCACCUUAGAUCAUUUCUCAGAAGGAUCAGCAUUACUUCUAAUUUCAUUCUAAAAGUAAUGAUUUUGGGGAGGCCAGUGUUAGGGUGAUUUCACUAUUCCUUUUCUCAUCUUAUGUAUGGAACAGAGGGAGGGUAGAAGUGAGAUUUUCAUUGCUAACUACUUAAGAGAUAAAGUAUACUGGGAAAGAAAACUAUAGAAAUGGUGUGUGUGUGUGUGUGUGUGUGUGUGUAAAAUACAUGGUCAGAAGUAACAUUUACUGAACUUUGUGAGAUAAAGAAGAAAAGGAAAACAGAAGAGUGCAUGCAUCUAACGCUUAAGGGAGAAGAAGGAAACAUGAUUAAAGAGGAUUUGAGGUUAAAUAGAAAUCUUCUUGUCCAUGCAGUGUAUGUUGUUGGUUAUGUAGAAAGUGGCUGUGAAGUCAUGCUUCAAGGCGCAUGUGAAGACAGAGAUGUAUAUGUAUAGCUGUGUGUGUAUGUAUAGCUCAGCUUCUUAUGCUCAGGAUGAUAACAAUUUAUAGCAUUAUUUUAAAAUACAGAGUUCCUGUAUGUAAAUGGAAUACUUAAGAUGGUCAGAUACAUUGGACUUCUUUUCAAAAACACAAAGUGAAGUAAUACCAAAGACUUUGAUUAAUUCCACAUAUACCUGACACUGGCUCACAACUAGUAAUAUUUGACGGUUGCAAUCAGCAUACACUGACCCUGAGAAUGUUGAUUUUAUAAUUUGAAAAUGUCCUUUGAGGCUGCUAUUUUGAUGAGGAAGUUCUUGCUGGCCAUGAUACUUGUUCAGCUAGAAGAGGGAGUGAGAAAUGAGACAGCCACAAAGUGAAGCUCAUUUGACUUUUGAGUCAUUAAAAUUUCGUUAUGUACUUUCUUUCCUAUGCAUGAUUCUAGUCUGGUCUGUUGAGAACAGCAUUUUACAGAGGGGUUUUUUUUUUUUUUUUUUUUUUUGUUUUUUUUUUUUUUUGGUCUUUUUGUCUUUUAGGGCUGCAGUCACAGCAUAUGGAGGUUUCCAGGCUAGGGGCAAUUGGAACUGUAGCCAACAGUCUACUCCAGAGCCAUAGCAACACUGGAUCCAAGCAGCAUCUGCGACCUACACCACAUCUCAUGGCAACGCUGGAGGCCAAGGAUCGAACCCACGUCCUCAUGGAUGCUAGUCAGGUUUGCUAACUGCUGAGCCAUGACAGGAACUCCUACAGCGGUCUUAAUCAAUUGUGUUUGGGAAGUUUUUAUGAAUGAAGUCUGAACUGAAGAAAGUCAUAGCAAAUAGAUCAGGUGGGUAGGAAUCCUAUAUUUAUUGUAAGUACAAUCUAUGAUUAGAGACCUGAAAUGCAUUCUGCAUAUAAAAAGGAAAACGUUCUGGCCACAGGCAUUAAAACAUUCUUCUGCUACUAUUAGUGUGUAUCUUAUGAUGCCAUGUAUUUUCUACCGGUAAGAAAUAACCUAAUUGUUUGACUUAAAAAAAGGAUUUUUCUUACAUCUCCUUUUAAAAAAAAACUACGUAAAGGGAAUUAAAUCGACCUUGUGCAAUAAUCAUCCAUUUAUUUUGCUUUUGUUCCACGAGGGGCUCUAAAGAGUUAUUAUGCACCAGAAAAAGUAGACUUAACGUCGAUUGCUCCAGAAAUUCUUUAUAGUCAAUGUUUGAAAUAGAGUGGGUUUUUUGUGUUUUUUUUGAAACUUUUCUCUGGGAUAGUGUGAAGUCUUAUUUUCCCCAUGCAUUGAUCCCAUUCUCAUGAGAAUUUUAUCUCAAUAUUCAGCUAUAGUUGAUAUCAAGUACUAAAUAUUACUGUCUUGAUCAUGUGUUCAAUCAAACAAGAAGUACUGAUCUUUGAAUAUAGAAUUCACUGGUUUUUAUUUUGAUCUUGCUGCCCCAAGAAGGAUCUAAGUUAGAGUACUAGGUAUUGCUUUUGGACCCUGAGGAGCCUGAAUGGAGAGAAGACUAUAUGAAUAAGACUGGCAGCCAGCUGCUGCAAUUGAGAGUCAUUUAUUUAUUAUUUUAUUUUUUAAAUUACUCAACGAAUUUAUUACAUUUAUGGUUGUACAAUGAUCAUC